UACCAGCACCCCGAGUGGUCGGGACGAUUAUUGGGCCUAAAGCAUCCGUAGCUUGUUCUGCAAGUCCUCCGUUAAAUCCACCUGCUCAACAGAUGGGCUGCGGGGGAUACUACAGGGCUAGGAGGCGGGAGAGGCAAACGGUACUCAGUGGGUAGGGGUAAAAUCCGUUGAUCCAUUGAAGACCACCAGUGGCGAAGGCGGCUUGCCAGAACGCACUCGACGGUGAGGGAUGAAAGCUGGGGGGAGCAA
rnacentral:rRNA from 1 species